CUUGAGCUUCGGUUUGGGUGGCGGACGGGUGAGUAACGCGUAAAGAACUUGCCUCACAGUUAGGGACAACAUUUGGAAACGAAUGCUAAUACCUGAUAUUAUGAUUUUAGGGCAUCCUAAGAUUAUGAAAGCUAUAUGCGCUGUGAGAGAGCUUUGCGUCCCAUUAGCUAGUUGGAGAGGUAACGGCUCACCAAGGCGAUGAUGGGUAGCCGGCCUGAGAGGGUGAACGGCCACAAGGGGACUGAGACACGGCCCUUACUCCUACGGGAGGCAGCAGUGGGGAAUAUUGGACAAUGGACCAAAAGUCUGAUCCAGCAAUUCUGUGUGCACGAUGACGUCUUUCGGAAUGUAAAGUGCUUUCAGUUGGGAAGAAAAAAAUGACGGUACCAACAGAAGAAGUGACGGCUAAAUACGUGCCAGCAGCCGCGGUAAUACGUAUGUCACAAGCGUUAUCCGGAUUUAUUGGGCGUAAAGCGCGUCUAGGUGGUUAUGUAAGUCUGAUGUGAAAAUGCAGGGCUCAACUCUGUAUUGCGUUGGAAACUGCAUGACUAGAGUACUGGAGAGGUAAGCGGAACUACAAGUGUAGAGGUGAAAUUCGUAGAUAUUUGUAGGAAUGCCGAUGGGGAAGCCAGCUUACUGGACAGAUACUGACGCUAAAGCGCGAAAGCGUGGGUAGCAAACAGGGUUAGAUACCCUGGUAGUCCACGCCGUAAACGAUGAUUACUAGGUGUUGGGGG
rnacentral:rRNA from 1 species